rnacentral:rRNA from 1 species
UACAGAGGGGGCAAGCGUUGUUCGGAAUUACUGGGCGUAAAGGGCGCGUAGGCGGCCCGCUAAGUCGAACGUGAAAUCCCCGAGCUCAACUCGGGAACUGCGUCCGAUACUGGUGGGCUUGAAUCCGGGAGAGGGAUGCGGAAUUCCAGGUGUAGCGGUGAAAUGCGUAGAUAUCUGGAGGAACACCGGUGGCGAAGGCGGCAUCCUGGACCGGCAUUGACGCUGAGGCGCGAAAGCGUGGGGAGCAAACGGG